GUGACCACCUCUGAGGGCAUCAGUUUCCUUGGCUACAAAAUGGUAAAAUGAGGAGUUUGGAAUAGUUUCUCUGAAAUCUCCUCUAACACUAAAUCCUAUGAUCCUAAACUGCUCCAACAUCUAUUGGGGGAGGGGGCAGAAGGGGAAGGCAAAGAACAAGCCCAAAGUCCAGUCAGAAGCGCUUCCACACCACUUACCUAUUUCUGUUUCCUCCAGCCAAAAUGGAAGUAAAGGAUCUGAUUAUAACCUGUGAAAAUAAGAUGCAGACAGAGCUUGACGCUAUCUACCCCCAGCUGGUGAAACGGUGUAGCCUUCUAUCCUCUCUGGAUCUCCCAGGCGAAAUGCCACUUGAUCUACUCAAGCAGGAAAAGGCCCAGAUUUCCCCAAGGAGCUCCAGCCGGCAUUUCCCAGCUCAGAAGGAUAUAGAUUGUGCCCAGAUAGUACAAAGCUCUGAGAAGAAGAAAUCAGACUCUCACUUGCAGUUGGGAGCAUCUUUCUGGAACCAGGCCCCACAAAGGCCCCCUGGGCCAGCCCAGGUUCACAGCAUGCAAUGCUUACAGCCCUUGGAGGCAGGACUCAGUACAGAAACUGAAGACAGCUCUGGCUGCUCCAGUGGUCAGCUCCUGCCUGACUUGGGGCCCAGACAGAUCCAGGGGUCAGGGGCCUACAUCACUCCCAGUCAGAUGAUCGGACAGCCCCCAAACCAAAGAUCAUCGGCCUCCUACCCUCCUAAGCGCUCAGCCAGGCCCAAUCCCAAGGCCAAGAGAAGACUUAACUAUAAUCCUUGAUCAGCCCCUCCCUGGCCCCUGAGAGGUCUGGUCCAAUGCUGGCUACCUUUGCCUUACUGACCUUGUGACCCUGACUUAGUCACUUCCCUUUCCUUAGCCUCAGUUUUCUUCUCUCUAAAAUGAGAGGCUUCUACUAAAUGAUCCUUGAGGUCUCCAAUUGUUCACAAUGUGUAAUCCUUUGUAUUCCUACCUUUUAAAAUUGGAAAAUAAAGGGAUGUCCCCUUGGA
rnacentral:lncRNA from 1 species